rnacentral:pre_miRNA from 1 species
AGUGGAAUAACUGGAUCAAAUGGUCAUUCCAUUCCAGAUUUUCUGAAGAAUCUCCAUACUGCUUUUCAGAGUGGUUAUACCAAUUUGCAGUCCCAUCAGCAAU